GAGUUUGAUCGUGGCUCAGAUUGAACGCUGGCGGCAGGCCUAACACAUGCAAGUCGAGCGGUAGAGAGAAGCUUGCUUCUCUUGAGAGCGGCGGACGGGUGAGUAAUGCCUAGGAAUCUGCCUGGUAGUGGGGGAUAACGCUCGGAAACGGACGCUAAUACCGCAUACGUCCUACGGGAGAAAGCAGGGGACCUUCGGGCCUUGCGCUAUCAGAUGAGCCUAGGUCGGAUUAGCUAGUUGGUGAGGUAAUGGCUCACCAAGGCGACGAUCCGUAACUGGUCUGAGAGGAUGAUCAGUCACACUGGAACUGAGACACGGUCCAGACUCCUACGGAGGCAGCAGUGGGGAAUAUUGGACAAUGGGCGAAAGCCUGAUCCAGCCAUGCCGCGUGUGUGAAGAAGGUCUUCGGAUUGUAAAGCACUUUAAGUUGGGAGGAAGGGCAGUAAAUUAAUACUUUGCUGUUUUGACGUUACGACAGAAUAAGCACCGGCUAACUCUGUGCCAGCACG
rnacentral:rRNA from 1 species